ensembl:lncRNA
AGAAAACAUAGGAAAUCAGUGGAAUGCAAAGUUAAACAUACUGAGUCCGGGUGUUUUAUGACCCCCAGCAUGUGUCCAACCAUCCACAUGGCAGUGUCAUACUUCCAGGAAGUCCUCCUGGAAAAGGAAAUUCUCCUGGAUUGGCCACUUCAUUGCCCAUUGGGAUGGGAAAUUUGAGCCCCAUUAAAAGCACUGUCAGGACUCUCAUCCAGAAUGAUUUAUGUGUUCCUUGAGGCGGUUCUGGCUCCAGCUGUGUGAAAGUGCUUCUGGCUGAGGCAAUCCUUGAGUUGUCUGAGUGCAGCCCUAGAGGAGAGAAGGCAGCUUUGUGAUGGAUUUGGUCAAACAGUCGUUCUGAAAAGGAAGCGAUCAUCUCAGAGCACCAUAUAGUGGGAGAAGGGAAGCGCACUGUUCUGUGUGAAUCAGAAUUCAGAAGGGAGGGCUCAGAUAAAGCUGUUGAAAAUGUGCCAGUUACUAUUUCCCAAACCAAAUGUAGAAGACUGAAGGUGCUGUGCUGCUGGACUCCACUCACUUCCACAAAUGAAGAAAUCUCUGAGGUAUCCAUCACUGUCUUCAUGUUGGUAUUUGGAAGGAUAAGCUCUUCAGAAGAGAUGCUGCUGGUAUUUCUUCCCUAGGAGGCAUCCCCAAGGGCUCCAUGGGACCGCAGAACAACUCAGGAUGAAGGAGACCUUGGGCUUAGCACCUUGUCCAUCCUCCGGAUAAUCCUUCACCAAAAUGCCACGUAGGAGUCCCACCGCUGCUGUCUGUUCUUUUCACUGUACAGAGAGUGGUGGGAUCAGGACAUUGCAGUAGAAUGUUUGUACAGUUUUACUACUGAAGGAGAAAAAAAGAAGUCUGGCUGGCACUCUUACAGGCCAGGACAGAUCGGGCAUGACCCAGUGCUCCAAGGAGUCAUUUCUUUCCUCCCCAAGGCAACUGCACAGCACAUCUUUCUGGAAGGUCUACAGAUAAUCAGCCCUCCCUGUUACCCACUAUGAACGAUUCCAUAUUCUCUACGUGUACAUUUAAU